GUGCUUGCUUUGGCAGCAUAUAUAUUGAAAUUGAAACAAUGCAGAGAAGAUUAGCAUGGUCUCUGAGCAAGGAUGCCACACAAAUUCAUGAAGUGUUUCACAAUAUU